UAUUUAUUUUUUAGCUGUUGUGCAACUUGAAGAAUUUAGUUUCUCUGGUCUUGGUGUCGGUGUGUGUGAAUGCGCAUGUCUACGUUUGGAGGACGGAGGCCCGGAUGUCACCAUCAACUCUACCGGAAGAUCCUCCUACAAACGGAUUGGUCCCAUCGGAUCUGCACGUCGAGCUCCACGAAGGCCGAACGUCGAUGCCGCUGAUUCCUGAUAACGCCGUGUGUGCCGUUACUCGACCCUCCUUCAUCCCACUGACGGCCACAAUUAGCCAACAAAAGGGGCCGGUGGAGCGGGCUGCAGCCGGCAACAUCACACUUUGCAAAGCGGAGGUUCAUCGGGCGGUCAUCAGAGAUCCUCAGAGAAUUGAAGUACCUCUUAAAGGACAGUUUCAACAUUUAAAAAAAGCAACGCUUGUUUUGUCUGUAACUCAGAGUCAGAUGAUGUGCCUCAGAAAUGGAACGGUUUUUGUUUUCUGAAUGAGUUAAAGAAAAUGUCAGGAACAGGAGAAGCUGUAUCAAACAAUUAGAAACUUGAUGUUAGCGCCUACUUCAAUUCCCAUUUCCCAUCCUGUUACACCGAUCAGCCACAACAUUAAAACCACCGACAGGAGACGUGAAUAACUAGGGGUGGGGUUUUGGCAACGACUUCAUGAUACGAUACAUUAUUGCGAUAUUAUGAUAUUACGAUAUAUUGCAAUAGUCUACAUAGAUAAUUCGUUGGACAAACUGAGUCAAAAACAACAUUAAUCCAAGUGAUCCAUUUUCAAUUUAUUGCUCUUGUACAGAAAAAGCAGUGGUGGAGGUGUGGAAGUCGUUCACAAUCAAAAUUGUUAUAGAAAAGGUAUCGCAAUAUGUAGCCGUAUCGAUAUGUUUUCCCACCCCAGGCGCCUCCAGCCCAUAGUAGCUUUAGUUUGUUUGUAUUUUUUUUGAAUGAAAGGGAGCAGAAAGAACCAACCAUCAAACUAACAUGUUUCAUAUGUUUCCUUAACAUAUUGGCUUUAAUUAUUCUUUUAAAUGUAAAUUUUGAUUUUGAUUUUUUGGAUCUUUGUUCAGAUUCUUCCAUAAACUGAUUCAAUUCACAGAAACACAACAUUUCAUAAGUUUAGUAGCAAAUCUUGUUUGUUUGUUUUUUUUUUUUCAAUUUUCCCUUUUUGCUGAACAUGUGCAUCCAGUACUUUUAUGUGGAUAUGCAGGACUUGUCACCAAGAUGGUUUAGAUGUUAUUUACUUCUCCAGUCAGUGGUCAUAAUGUUGUGGCUGAUUGGUGUAUAUUAUUUUUUUCAGUAUUUUGUGGCACUAAUGUUUAUAGAAUGAGUGGAAGAGGACACACUGUGUGGUGUUGCUCAUUUUCAGUUACCUCUCCAUUCAUUGGAGCCUUUUGAGCUGAAGAUCUUCCCACGUAACAAUCAAAGUUCUUCCAAUAAUGUAAAAACGAAUGUGGAUGAGAUUGACUCAUCAACAAAAAUAACUCUGGAAUCAACGUCCAACUGCCAUCGUAUAACAUCAACUGCCAUCCAAAAAAUGACGUUGUCAGACAGUGUUCCUACGCAAGUAUGGAAUCUGAUUUUAUAAAUGUCCACGUCUGGAAAAUAAUGGAAAAUGAAAACU